rnacentral:misc_RNA from 1 species
AAGUCGUAACAAGGUUUCCGUAGGUGAACCUGCGGAAGGAUCAUUAACACGUAUCCACGUAACAACUAACUGAGAAUUCAAAUUAUCCCCUUUGAAUCGGUGCCUUUACUCGCAUCGAAGAGAAGGAGAAACAGGAGAGAGAUGAAAUAAAAGGGAAGUGAGGAAAAUUCGAAAAUUCGUCUCGUUUUCAAAAAUGAGAAGUUUUUUUUGAUUCUUUUCACUUUCUUCUCUCUUCUGAUAUUUUUCCACUUUUUUCACCCCCUGAUACCUUUUCUUGUUGUUUCCUUAAAUUUCGAUUUUUUUUCUCUUCCAUUCAGUUUUUACUGUUUGAUUAGUUUCGAAUUCUUAAUUUAUUUUGGAAAAUUUUAAUUUUUUUCAAUCGAAAACAACUCUUAGCAAUGGAUAUCUUGGUUCUC